rnacentral:rRNA from 1 species
GCGCAGCAGGCGCGAAACCUUCGCAAUGCGGGAAACCGCGACGAGGGGACUCCCAGUGCCUACGCUCAGCGUAGGCUGUUCCCGAGCCUAGAAAGCUCGGGGAGUAAGGGCUGGGUAAGACGGGUGCCAGCCGCCGCGGUAAUACCCGCAGCCCGAGUGGUGGCCACUAUUAUUGGGCCUAAAGCGUCCGUAGCCGGCCCGGUAAAUGCCUGGGUAAAUCGUGAGGCCUAACCUCACGAAUUCCGGGUAGACUGCCGGGCUAGGGACCGGAGGAGGGAGAGGGUACUCCAGGGGUAGGGGUGAAAUCCUGUAAUCCCUGGAGGACCACCGGUGGCGAAGGCGCUCUCCUAGGACGGGUCCGACGGUGAGGGACGAAGGCCAGGGGAGCGAACCGGAUUAGAUACCCGGGUAGU